AACGAACGCUGGCGGCAUGCCUAACACAUGCAAGUCGAACGAGACCUUCGGGUCUAGUGGCGCACGGGUGCGUAACGCGUGGGAAUCUGCCCUUAGGUUCGGAAUAACUCAGGGAAACUUGAGCUAACACCGGAUAAUGACUUCGGUCCAAAGAUUUAUCGCCUAGGGAUGAGCCCGCGUCGGAUUAGCUAGUUGGUGGGGUAAAAGCUCACCAAGGCGACGAUCCGUAGCUGGUCUGAGAGGAUGAUCAGCCACACUGGGACUGAGACACGGCCCCAGACUCCUACGGGAGGCAGCAGUGGGGAAUAUUGGACAAUGGGCGAAAGCCUGAUCCAGCAAUGCCGCGUGAGUGAUGAAGGCCCUUAGGGUUGUAAAGCUCUUUUACCCCGGGGAUAAUAAUGACAGUACCGGGAGAAUAAGCCCCGGCUAACUCCGUGCCAGCAGCCGCGGUAAUACGGAGGGGGCUAGCGUUGUUCGGAAUUACUGGGCGUAAAGCGCACGUAGGCGGCUUUGUAAGUUAGAGGUGAAAAGCCCGGGGGCUCAACUCCCGGGAAAUUGGCCCUUUUAAAGGACUGCAUCGCUAGAAUUUGUGGAGAGGUGAGUGGAAUUCCCGAGUGUAGAGGUGAAAUUCGUAGAUAUUCGGAAGAACACCAGUGGCGAAGGCGACUCACUGGACACAUAUUUGACGCUGAGGUGCGAAAGCGUGGGGAGC
rnacentral:rRNA from 1 species